GCAGAAUUAACCAACUGACGCUUUCACGGUGCCGUUGCCGCCGCGCCCCUCUGCUCCCCGGCUGCCCUCGCGGGCGGCGGUGCUGCUGAGCGGCCGCUGCGGCUGCGGUGCGUGCGUGAUGCCGAGCGGUGCUGAAUGGCAAAGACUCUGCGCUUGUGUGUGUGCGUGUACGCCGGGCAAGGCUUCCUCUCCGCUCCCCGCCGUGCGGCUGCCAGCAACCGAGAUGAAGCUGAUAUGGUCCGUGUUUCAGAUCCGCGUGACGCAAGUUUCUCUCCUAGUACAUAUCUUCUGAGUUGCUGCUGGCGGCGCGCGCGCAUGUGUAUCUGUGCGUGUGUGUGUGUGUGUGUGCGGCGCCUGCUGCCGAGCGCUGCCCCUCUAGAUCCCUGCUUUCGCUGCCCGCAGCACGGCGUUGUCGGUUGGGCGUGACUCCUUGCACCUCGUAGGUACGACCCUAUCUCGCAACCCCCAGAUUCGCGAGCCCCUGUGCGCGGCGGCUGUGCCGAGUUAUCGAAGACGCAUCACCUUAACCCCUCCCUGCCCUCCCCACUUUAGCCGCUGCGGCUGGCGUGCCGGUGCGCGCGUGCGUCGUGCGAGCUUUGCUGAUGAUGCGUGAGGAGCGCUCCUCCCAUCCUCCAAAAGAGCAGAAUUAACCAACUGACGCUUUCACGGUGCCGUUGCCGCCGCGCCCCUCUGCUCCCCGGCUGCCCUCGCGGGCGGCGGUGCUGCUGAGCGGCCGCUGCGGCUGCGGUGCGUGCGUGAUGCCGAGCGGUGCUGAAUGGCAAAGACUCUGCGCUUGUGUGUGUGCGUGUACGCCGGGCAAGGCUUCCUCUCCGCUCCCCGCCGUGCGGCUGCCAGCAACCGAGAUGAAGCUGAUAUGGUCCGUGUUUCAGAUCCGCGUGACGCAAGUUUCUCUCCUAGUACAUAUCUUCUGAGUUGCUGCUGGCGGCGCGCGCGCAUGUGUAUCUGUGCGUGUGUGUGUGUGUGUGUGCGGCGCCUGCUGCCGAGCGCUGCCCCUCUAGAUCCCUGCUUUCGCUGCCCGCAGCACGGCGUUGUCGGUUGGGCGUGACUCCUUGCACCUCGUAG
rnacentral:misc_RNA from 1 species